GGAUCGGUAGUUUAGUUGGUUAGAACAUCGGCCUGUCACGCCGAAGGUCGCGGGUUCAAGUCCCGUUCGAUCCG
rnacentral:tRNA from 6 species